rnacentral:rRNA from 1 species
GACGAACGCUGGCGGCGUGCUUAACACAUGCAAGUCGAACGGAAAGGCCCUGCUUUUGUGGGGUGCUCGAGUGGCGAACGGGUGAGUAACACGUGAGUAACCUGCCCUUGACUUUGGGAUAACUUCAGGAAACUGGGGCUAAUACCGGAUAGGAGCUCCUGCUGCAUGGUGGGGGUUGGAAAUUUUCGGCGGUUGGGGAUGGACUCGCGGCUUAUCAGCUUGUUGGUGGGGUAGUGGCUUACCAAGGCUUUGACGGGUAGCCGGCCUGAGAGGGUGAACGGCCACAUUGGGACUGAGAUACGGACCAGACUCCUACGGGAGGCAGCAGUGGGGAAUAUUGCACAAUGGGCGGAAGCCUGAUGCAGCAACGCCGCGUGCGGGAUGACGGCCUUGGGGUUGUAAACCGCUUUCGCCUGUGACGAAGCGUGAGUGACGGUAAUGGGUAAAGAAGCACCGGCUAACUACGUG